AACUGGUGGACAAAGAGGGGAGCAAAAAUUGGUCAUGGUAUAUUGGAGGUUUCACAGUCUAAGAAGCAAAAUAUCUUCAAAAGAAGGCAAUUUAGUUAAGAAUAAGAUUUAGAGACUAUAACCAGGAGUUAAAAUUGUUCAGGAGAUACAGCUAAAUUUCUUAAUAGAGAGGUGAUAAAGUAAGGGCUUGGUAGAUCUUUGUUAGCUGAAUUAAAAUAUGUCUCUAGAAUUUAUAGGAUCCUUGCUACUGUGAUACUGUAGGGAAAAGAAGGAAGCGGAGAAUUAAAAGGAUGCUCUUGCAUAAGCCUAGGAAAGAUGAUUCUUGAGGUGGAAAUAAGGAUGUGUCUACAGAGGAGAAGGGAUCAGUUUGGUAGUCAAGAGGACAGGAUCCCAACUUCCUGAGUUUUAGUGCUGAGAGAAACCUUGUUUUUGACAAAUGAGAUUCUAUUUAAUUGAGCUUUAAGUAGGUCAUAGGCCAGUUGGUUUUAUAGAAUCUUUUCUCUGUGUACUAAUUCACACCUUAUUGCUUCUUUCAAGUUUCUUCCCUUUCCU
rnacentral:lncRNA from 1 species